rnacentral:rRNA from 1 species
AUGAUUUCCCUAUGCGAUGAUUUGCCCACUUAUGAUGAGUAUGAUGAUUCUCUUGUGGAGUCUAUUAGUUGUGAUGCCAUGUUACAUAGGAUUUUUUGUGACAAUUCUUUAGGUCACAUCAUGUUUGAUAAUCCGCUUGACUUGUCAUAUGCUAUGCAUGAGAUCCGCCAUAUGUCUUAUUUGCAAUCUCUUCAUAGUGACUAUGCAUAUGCCAUUAAAAUAAACCCAAUUUGUACUUACGGCAUAGAUGACAAGCCCAUGGUUAUUGGCAUUUGUUUUUCUUGUGAUGAUAUUGAUAUGCUCCCUUUGCAUCAUUUAUCUCAUAUGCCAUGCCAUGACCACCUAGAUUCUGAUAUGCAUUGUUUUGGAUGUUGUCCAUUUUCUCCAUGUGAUAUUUCCGAUAUUGCUCAUGAGGAGACCCCCAUAGUUUCCUCAUGCAUUUUAGGAGAUUUUGAUCCAUCCCAUUCAUUGCAUGAUCCCGAUACUUUUGUGCACCAUAUGCUCCCCAUGAAUAAACAUGCUAUUUAUGUGCCAUAUACUUGCAUUCUCAAUUUUUCCCCAUCGUGUCAUACACAAUAA